AUACGUAGGUGGCAAGCGUUAUCCGGAAUUAUUGGGCGUAAAGAGGGAGCAGGCGGCAGCAAGGGUCUGUGGUGAAAGCCUGAAGCUUAACUUCAGUAAGCCAUAGAAACCAGGCAGCUAGAGUGCAGGAGAGGAUCGUGGAAUUCCAUGUGUAGCGGUGAAAUGCGUGGAUAUAUGGAGGAACACCAGUGGCGAAGGCGACGACCUGGCCUGCAACUGACGCUCAGUCCCGAAAGCGUGGGGAGCAAAUAGUAUUAGAUACCCUAGUAGUCCACGCCGUAAACGAUGAGUACUAAGUGUUGGAUGUCAAAGUUCAGUGCUGCAGUUAACGCAAUAAGUACUCCGCCUGAGUAGUACGUUCGCAAGAAUGAAACUCAAAUGAAUUGACGGGG
rnacentral:rRNA from 1 species